rnacentral:rRNA from 1 species
AUAGUUUGAUAAUGGCUCAGAAUGAACGCUGGCGGCGUGCUUAACACAUGCAAGUUGAGCGGUAAGGCACCUUCGGGUGUACACGAGCAGCGAACGGGUGAGUAACGCGUGGGUAAUCUACCUANAGGUGGGGGAUAGCCUCGGGAAACCGGGGGUAAUACCGCAUGAGUCCUUUCCGACAUAAGUUGGAUUGGGGAAAGGCGGGGAUCUUCGGACCUGUCGCCUCUGGAUGAGCCCGCGUCCGAUUAGCUUGUUGGUGAGGUAAUGGCUCACCAAGGCAUCGAUCGGUAGCCGGCCUGAGAGGGUGAACGGCCACAUUGGGACUGAGACACGGCCCAGACUCCUACGGGAGGCAGCAGUGGGGAAUUUUGGGCAAUGGGGGAAACCCUGACCCAGCGACGCCGCGUGGAGGAUGAAGGCCUUCGGGUUGUAAACUCCUGUCAGGUGGGAAGAAGAGCCCUGUGGAUAAUACCCACAGGGAAUUGACGGUACCACCAAAGGAAGCCCCGGCUAACUCCGUGCCAGCAGCCGCGGUAAUACGGAGGGGGCAAGCGUUAUUCGGAUUUACUGGGCGUAAAGCGCACGUAGGUGGCAUUGUAAGUCACAGGUGAAAUCCCUCGGCUCAACCGAGGAACUGCCUGCGAAACUGCACUGCUUGAGUCCGGGAGGGGGGAGCGGAAUUCCCAGUGUAGCGGUGAAAUGCGUAGAUACUGGGAGGAACACCGGUGGCGAAGGCGGCUCCCUGGACCGGUA